rnacentral:rRNA from 1 species
GACGAACGCUGGCGGCGUGCUUAACACAUGCAAGUCGAACGGAAAGGCCCUGCUUUUGUGGGGUGCUCGAGUGGCGAACGGGUGAGUAACACGUGAGUAACCUGCCCUUGACUUUGGGAUAACUUCAGGAAACUGGGGCUAAUACCGGAUAGGAGCUCCUGCUGCAUGGUGGGGGUUGGAAAGUUUCGGCGGUUGGGGAUGGACUCGCGGCUUAUCAGCUUGUUGGUGGGGUAGUGGCUUACCAAGGCUUUGACGGGUAGCCGGCCUGAGAGGGUGACCGGCCAAAUUGGGACUGGGAAGCGGCCCAUGCCCCUGCGGGGGGCAGGGGGGGGGAAUUUUGCAAAAGGGGGGGAAGCGUGAUCCAGCAACCCCGCGUGGGGGAGGGCGGCCUUGGGGUUUGAAACCGCUUUCGCCUGUACCGAGGCGUGGGGGACGGGAAUGGGUAAAGAAGCCCGGGUAAACUACUG